GCACUCGUAGCUCAGCUGGAUAGAGCAUCGCCCUUCUAAGGCGAGGGUCUUAGGUUCGAAUCCUAACGGGUGUACCA
rnacentral:tRNA from 3 species